UUUCUAUAUGCACGUGUCCAAAAACACGAUUCCUGUACAAAAAGAGUCCUUCCCGUUUCCCCAACCAUACAGCGAGAGCAACAUGAGGUAAACGUCACUGAGAAUUUAAAACUGUCAACGUGGAAAAAAAAGGGGUUGCACCGGCCCACGAACACAACGCUUAACGGUACUAUGUUUCAGGACGGGUGUUGUGAGCACGUAACGUAAUUUGGGCAACGGAAAUAGCUUGCACUGAGCAAAAUGACGACACUAAUUUCUUUUAAAAAAAAGAAAAAAACAAAA